AUUGAACGCUGGCGGCAGGCCUAACACAUGCAAGUCGAGCGAGUGGCGGACGGGGGAGUAAUGUCUGGGAAACUGCGCGAUGGAGGGGGAUAACUACUGGAAACGGGAGCUAAUACCGCAUACCAUCGGAGGUGUCCACAUGGGGUUAGCUUGUAGGGGAGGUAACGGCUCACCUAGGCGACGAUCCCUAGCUGGUCUGAGAGGAUGACCAGCCACACUGGAACUGAGACACGGUCCAGACUCCUACGGGAGGCAGCAGUGGGGAAUAUUGCACAAUGGGCGCAAGCCUGAUGCAGCCAUGCCGCGUGUAUGAAGAAGGCCUUCGGGUUGUAAAGUACUUUCAGCGGGGAGGCGUUACCCGCAGAAGAAGCACCGGCUAACUCCGUGCCAGCAGCCGCGGUAAUAC
rnacentral:rRNA from 1 species